rnacentral:rRNA from 1 species
UACGUAGGGUGCAAGCGUUAAUCGGAAUUACUGGUCGUAAAGCGUGCGCAGGCGGUUUUGUAAGUUUGUCGUGAAAUCCCCGGGCUCAACCUGGGAAUUGCGAUGAAGACUGCAAGGCUAGAAUCUGGCAGAGGGGGGUAGAAUUCCACGUGUAGCAGUGAAAUGCGUAGAGAUGUGGAGGAACACCGAUGGCGAAGGCAGCCCCCUGGGUCAAGAUUGACGCUCAUGCACGAAAGCGUGGGGAGCAAACAGG